UGUUUCUUGCCUUAGAUUUUGAAAGCGGUCGUAAAAGUGUUAGGAUGUUAUUUCUAUCGGGUUUUCUGUUAUUUUGCAACUGGAAUUGUUUGUGCUUUUAGUUGGUCAGAUAAUGCGUGCGGAACCUGCUUCUUCUGCAGAUCAAGUGACUAGUAUAAAUCUUGAAGUGGUCUUAUAUGCAUUGUGCAAGUUAAGUUGGCACUAUGCAUCUCAGAAUAAUAAACCUCGUUCAGUUGUCAAUUAGUAUUUGAAGUUGACUGUUAGGGCCUUGGUUUCUGCUCGCAUGUUGUGAUUCUUGCAAGGAGAUAUAUUACAUUUGCUGCUCUGCUUUUUUUGAG